AAGUGAGAAACAAAAAUUUGUAAUUAGUUUCGACCUAAUCUAUGAUGAUAACUCAUCCUCACUUA
rnacentral:tRNA from 1 species